UCUCUCUCUCUCACCCAAAUCCCUCUCCUGUCUCUCUGUCGCCCUAAUCCCCUUCCUCUCCUCUCUCUCUUCAUCUCGAUCUCUCACCCUCCUCUCUCUUUCGGCUACCUUGGGCUCUCUCCACCCGCAACAACUCGAUAACCCAUCAGGUGUACCUACUUUUAGAAUUGCGCAUGAUCUCUAAAGAGAGACUCCAAACAUUAGUGAAUGUGGAAGAAUCAAAGGAUGUACCUGCUAUGAGGAUGGUGAUGUCAAAAUGGCAGAUGCCACAACGGCAAAGACUGAAAAAGAGAGGAAUUCUUCAAAGGUGCUGGUGAAGUUGUUGAUGUCUGAUUUGCAUCAAAUGAAGAGGGUGUCUUCGAGGGAUUCAGCCAUGUUGAGUUUGCCACUGGGGCAACAGCUCACAAGAUAUGUUUUUUUUUUUUUUUCUGAGAUACCUGUGUUAUGUCAACAUGAAACUGUUGGUAGCAUCGGCUGGAUUUACUGUUGUAGAGUUGUCUUGUUAUUUAGUCAUCUAAGUUUCAGGUGUCCGGUUGCCAAGUAAAUUGUUAUUCAAAUUGCUUUGGAUUUCAUGGUCAUCUACAACAGCCUUGUUGCUUUUGCCACAUCACUCAUGUUAAGGGCCAUGUGUGCUGAAAUUGAUAUGGUUUUCUUGGUGCAUGCAUAUGCACUCCUGGUUUUUUGUUGUUCCUUUACAUGGGUAAGGUUCCUUGUUUGUUUGAUUUUUGAUUUUUUCUUGUUUUGUCUUCAUAGGGCCAAUGUUCCUUGUUUGUUUGAUUAGUACCCAUUAAAAAGAGACCAAGCAAACUAUAUGCAAACUUUUGGUGCAUGAUCC